AGCGAACGCUGGCGGCGUGCCUAACACAUGCAAGUCGAACGUGAAAAGGGAAACCUGAGUAAAGUGGCGUACGGGUGAGUAACGCGUAGGUCAUCUACCCCAGAAUCUGGAAUAACCUGCCGAAAGGCGGGCUAAUACUGGAUAGAGCGAGGGAACUCGUAAGAGAGUUUUUCGGGAAAGGGAGCCCGCAAGGGCCUUCGUUCUGGGAUGAGCCUGCGUCUCAUUAGCUAGUUGGUAAGGUAACGGCUUACCAAGGCGAUGAUGAGUAGCUGGUCUGAGAGGAUGAACAGCCACACUGGAACUGGAACACGGGUCCGACUCCUACGGGGGGCAGCAGUUGGGAAUCUUGCGCAAUUGACGGAAGGCUGACGCAGCCACGCCGCGGGAGUGAAGAAGGCCUUCGGGUUGUAAAGCUCUGUCGGAUGGGACGAACAUCUUCAUAGUGAAUAGCUAUGAGUACUGACGGUACCAACAAAGGAAGCACCGGCUAACUCCGUG
rnacentral:rRNA from 1 species